UCUUCAUUUCACGUGCUCUCUCGCCGGUCAGUGUGGCGAGAGAGUGUGUGAAAUAGAGACA
rnacentral:pre_miRNA from 1 species